AUUGAACGCUGGCGGCAUGCCUUACACAUGCAAGUCGAACGGCAGCACGGGAGCAAUCCUGGUGGCGAGUGGCGAACGGGUGAGUAAUACAUCGGAACGUGCCCAGUAGUGGGGGAUAACCCGGCGAAAGCCGGACUAAUACCGCAUACGACCUACGGGUGAAAGCGGGGAUCGCAAGACCUCGCGCUAUCGGAGCGGCCGAUGUCAGAUUAGCUAGUUGGGGGUAAAGGCCCACCAAGGCGACGAUCUGUAGCUGGUCUGAGAGGACGACCAGCCACACUGGGACUGAGACACGGCCAGACUCCUACGGGAGGCAGCAGUGGGGAAUUUUGGACAAUGGGCGCAAGCCUGAUCCAGCCAUGCCGCGUGCGGGAAGAAGGCU
rnacentral:rRNA from 1 species